GGGCUGACUAGGCUACUCCUGGCUCCGAGCGAGAUCCUGGCUCAGAGUUUGAUCCUGGCUGGAGAACGGUCGAGGCUACGAGAGUAACCUGCCCCCGACUCUGGGAUAAGCCCGGCAAACUGGGUCUAAUACCGGAUAUGACUUCCUACUGCAUGGUGGGUUGGUGAAAGAUUUAUCGCUGGGGGAUGGACUCGCGGCCUAUCAGCUUGUUGGUGAGGUAAUGGCUCACCAAGGCGACGACGGGUAGCCGGCCUGAGAGGGUGACCGGCCCCACUGGGACUGAAACACCGCCCAGACUCCUACGGGAGGCAGCAGUGGGGAAUAUUGCACAAUGGGCGGAAGCCUGAUGCAGCGACUCCGCGUGAGGGAUGACGGCCUUCGGGUUGUAAACCUCUUUCAGUAGGGAAGAAGCGAAAGUGACGGUACCUGCAGAAGAAGCGCCGGCUAACUACGUGCCAGCAGCCGCGGUAAUACGUAGGGCGCAAGCGUUAUCCGGAUUUAUUGGGCGUAAAGAGCUCGUAGGCGGUUUGUCGCGUCUGCCGUGAAAGUCCGAGGCUCAACCUCGGAUCUGCGGUGGGUACGGGCAGACUAGAGUGAUGUAGGGGAGACUGGAAUUCCUGGUGUAGCGGUGAAAUGCGCAGAUAUCAGGAGGAACACCGAUGGCGAAUGCAGGUCUCUGGGCAUUUACUGACGCUGAGGAGCGAAAGCAUGGGGAGCGAACAGGAUUAGAUACCCUGGUAGUCCAUGCCGUAAACGUUGGGCACUACGUGUGGGGGACAUUCCACGUUUUCCGCGCCGUAGCUAACGCAUUAAGUGCCCCGCCUGGCGAGUACGGCCGCACGGCUAAACUCAAGGAAUUGACGGGGGCCCGCUCAAGCGGCGGAGCAUGCGGAUUAAUUCGAUGCAACGUCGAAGAAUCUUACCAAGGCUUGACAUGUGCCAGACCGCUCCAGAGAUGGGGUUUCUCUUUCGAGGACUGGUUCACAGGUUGUGCAUGGUUGUCGAUCAGCUCGUGUCGUGAGAUGUUGGGUUAAGUCCCGCAACGAUCGCAACCCUCGCUCCAUG
rnacentral:rRNA from 1 species